UCUCCAAUAUGUCGAGGAUGGGAUAAGGGACUAUCGUACAAGCCACCCGACAUACAUUAGAGGUUGUGUCUUGUUUCUUCAGCUUUUCUAUAUCAGCAAGUUCUCUAUGCCGGCUUUCCAAGUUGAAGUCCGCAGUCCACUUUCGGCUGCAUGGACAGAUGAGCAAGUCAAGAGGCGCUUGGCUGCCGAAAUACACACCUAUGGCAAUUAUGGCCAUGUCCAGGUCAUACAGGAAAGCAAACCUUCUGCACAAAAUGAUGGAC